UGGGGAAUAUUGCACAAUGGGCGCAAGCCUGAUGCAGCCAUGCCGCGUGUAUGAAGAAGGCCUUCGCGUUGUAAAGUACUUUCAGCGGGGAGGAAGGGAGUAAAGUUAAUACCUUUGCUCAUUGACGUUACCCGCAGAAGAAGCACCGGCUAACUCCGUGCCAGCAGCCGCGGUAAUACGGAGGGUGCAAGCGUUAAUCGGAAUUACUGGGCGUAAAGCGCACGCAGGCGGUUUGUUAAGUCAGAUGUGAAAUCCUCGGGCUCAACCUGGGAACUGCAUCUGAUACUGGCAAGCUUGAGUCUCGUAGAGGGGGGUAGAAUUCCAGGUGUAGCGGUGAAAUGCGUAGAGAUCUGGAGGAAUACCGGUGGCGAAGGCGGCCCCCUGGACGAAGACUGACGCUCAGGUGCGAAAGCGUGGGGAGCAAACAGG
rnacentral:rRNA from 1 species